GGAGAGGUUGCUGAGCGGCCGAAAGCGGCGGUCUCGAAAACCGUUAGGCGCCUUCCGGUGCCUCGUGGGUUCGAAUCCCACCCUCUCCGCCA
rnacentral:tRNA from 1 species